rnacentral:rRNA from 1 species
UACGGAGGGGGCUAGCGUUGUUCGGAAUUACUGGGCGUAAAGCGCGCGUAGGCGGCUUUGUAAGUUAGAGGUGAAAGCCCGAAGCUCAACUUCGGAAUUGCCUUUAAGACUGCAUCGCUAGAAUCAUGGAGAGGUGAGUGGAAUUCCGAGUGUAGAGGUGAAAUUCGUAGAUAUUCGGAAGAACACCAGUGGCGAAGGCGACUACCUGGCCUGUUCUUGACGCUGAGGCGCGAAAGCUAGGGGAGCAAACGGG